rnacentral:rRNA from 1 species
UACGGAGGAUCCAAGCGUUAUCCGGAUUUAUUGGGUUUAAAGGGUGCGUAGGCGGCUUAUUAAGUCAGGGGUGAAAGACGGUGGCUCAACCAUCGCGGUGCCUUUGAUACUGAUGAGCUUGAAUACACUUGAGGUAGGCGGAAUGUGACAAGUAGCGGUGAAAUGCAUAGAUAUGUCACAGAACACCAAUUGCGAAGGCAGCUUACUAAGGUGCAAUUGACGCUGAGGCACGAAAGCGUGGGGAUCAAACAGG